rnacentral:antisense_RNA from 1 species
AAAAAAAAUCCCUUGGCGAAAUUGAAGAAAUACACCUAUACCUAACAACAUUAAGUAAAUGUUCAUAAUUAUAGUUAUUUUAUUUCUAUCUUUCCA